GAUGAACGCUGGCGGCGUGCCUAAUACAUGCAAGUCGAGCGAACAGACGCGGAGCUUUCUCCUCUGACGUUAGCGGCGGACGUGUUAGUAACACGUGUGAACCUACCUAUAAGACAGGGACACGUUCGGGAAACCGGUGCCACUACCGGACAAUAUAUUGAACCGCAGGGUUCAAUAGUGAAACACGGUUUUGCCGUCACUUAUCGAUUGAUCCGCGUCGUAUUAGCUAGUUGGUAAGGUAACGGCUUACCAAGGCAACGAUGCGUAGCCGACCUGAGAGGGCGAUCGGCCACACUGGAACUGAGACACGGCCCAGACUCCUACGGGAGGCAGCAGUAGGGAAUCUUCCACAAUGGGCGAAAGCUUGACGGAGCAACGCCGCGUGAAUGAAGAAGGUCUUCGGAUCGUAAAACGCUGUUAUUAGGGAAGAACAAAUGUGGAAGAAAAUAUGCACGUAUUGACGGUACCGAAAGAGAAAGCCACGGCUAACUACGUG
rnacentral:rRNA from 1 species